GCCUAUUUGGUCUAGUCGCAUGAUACCUCAUUCGGGUUUCGGCCAGCUUGCUUGUCAAGUGUGCAUUGAGGUGGUCCUCGGUUCAAUUCCGGGAAUGGGCC